rnacentral:rRNA from 1 species
UCGGGAGACAGGUCGGUCUCUAUCCACUGUGGGCGCAGGGGACUUGAGGAAGCCUGUCCUUAGUACGAGAGGACCGGGAUGGACGGACCUCUGGUGUGUCGGUUGUCGCGCCAGCGGCAUGGCCGAGUAGCUACGUCCGGUUGAGAUAACCGCUGAAUGCAUCUAAGUGGGAAACUCGUUCCAAGAUUAAGUCCCCCAUGGCAUAAGCCAGUAAGACCGCAGGUAGACGACCUGCUAUAUAGGCGUCCGCGUGUAAGCGCAGUAAUGCGUGUGCGUAGGCGUCCUAAUCGGUCGAGGGCUUAGUCCA